rnacentral:rRNA from 1 species
GACGAACGCUGGCGGCGUGCUUAACACAUGCAAGUCGAACGGAAAGGCCCUGCUUUUGUGGGGUGCUCGAGUGGCGAACGGGUGAGUAACACGUGAGUAACCUGCCCUUGACUUUGGGAUAACUUCAGGAAACUGGGGCUAAUACCGGAUAGGAGCUCCUGCUGCAUGGUGGGGUUGGGAAGGUUCGGCGGUUGGGGAUGGACUCGCGGCUUAUCAGCUUGUUGGUGGGGUAGUGGCUUACCAAGGCUUUGACGGGUAGCCGGCCUGAGAGGGUGACCGGCCACAUUGGGACUGAGAUACGGCCCAGACUCCUACGGGAGGCAGCAGUGGGGAAUAUUGCACAAUGGGCGGAAGCCUGAUGCAGCAACGCCGCGUGCGGGAUGACGGCCUUCGGGUUGUAAACCGCUUUCGCCUGUGACGAAGCGUGAGUGACGGUAAUGGGUAAAGAAGCACCGGCUAACUACGUG